rnacentral:rRNA from 1 species
GACGAACGCUGGCGGCGUGCUUAACACAUGCAAGUCGAACGGAAAGGCCCCCUUGUGGGGUACUUGAGUGGCGAACGGGUGAGUAACACGUGAGUAACCUACCCUUGACUUUGGGAUAACUUCAGGAAACUGGGGCUAAUACCGGAUAGGAGCUCCUGCUGCAUGGUGGGGGUUGGAAAGUUUCGGCGGUUGGGGAUGGACUCGCGGCUUAUCAGCUUGUUGGUGGGGUAGUGGCUCACCAAGGCUUUGACGGGUAGCCGGCCUGAGAGGGUGACCGGCCACAUUGGGACUGAGAUACGGCCCAGACUCCUACGGGAGGCAGCAGUGGGGAAUAUUGCACAAUGGGCGGAAGCCUGAUGCAGCAACGCCGCGUGCGGGAUGACGGCCUUCGGGUUGUAAACCGCUUUCGCCUGUGACGAAGCGUGAGUGACGGUAAUGGGUAAAGAAGCACCGGCUAACUACGUG